rnacentral:rRNA from 1 species
CGCUAUCACUCCUACGGGAGGCAGCAGUGGGGAAUAUUGCACAAUGGGCGCAAGCCUGAUGCAGCCAUGCCGCGUGUGUGAAGAAGGCCUUCGGGUUGUAAAGCACUUUCAGUCGUGAGGAAGGUAGUGUAGUUAAUAGCUGCAUUAUUUGACGUUAGCGACAGAAGAAGCACCGGCUAACUCCGUGCCAGCAGCCGCGGUAAUACGGAGGGUGCGAGCGUUAAUCGGAAUUACUGGGCGUAAAGCGCAUGCAGGCGGCCUGUUAAGUCAGAUGUGAAAGCCCGGGGCUUAACCUCGGAAUUGCAUUUGAAACUGGCAGGCUAGAGUCUUGUAGAGGGGGUAGAAUUUCAGGUGUAGCGGUGAAAAUGCGUAGAGAUCUGAAGGAAUACCAGUGGCGAAGGCGGCCCCCUGGACAAAGACUGACGCUCAGAUGCGAAAGCGUGGGGAGCAAACAGGAUUAGAUACCCUGGUAG